CCUACGGGGGGCAGCAGUGGGGAAUAUUGCACAAUGGGGGAAACCCUGAUGCAGCGACGCCGCGUGAGUGAAGAAGUAUUUCGGUAUGUAAAGCUCUAUCAGCAGGGAAGAAAGAAAUGACGGUACCUGACUAAGAAGCCCCGGCUAACUACGUGCCAGCAGCCGCGGUAAUACGUAGGGGGCAAGCGUUAUCCGGAUUUACUGGGUGUAAAGGGAGCGUAGACGGCGAUGCAAGUCUGAAGUGAAAGGCGGGGGCCCAACCUCCGGACUGCUUUGGAAACUGUAUGGCUGGAGUGCAGGAGAGGUAAGUGGAAUUCCUAGUGUAGCGGUGAAAUGCGUAGAUAUUAGGAGGAACACCGAUUGCGAAGGCAGCUCACUGGACUGCAACUGACACUGAGGCUCGAAAGUGUGGGUAUCAAACAGGAUUAGAUACCCGGGUAGUC
rnacentral:rRNA from 1 species